rnacentral:rRNA from 1 species
AACGCGAAGAACCUUACCUGGGCUCGAAAUGCAGUGCACCGGGGUAGAAAUAUCCCUUCCCGCAAGGGGUGCUGCAUAGGUGCUGCAUGGCUGUCGUCAGCUCGUGUCGUGAGGUGUUGGGUUAAGUCCCGCAACGAGCGCAACCCUUGUCGUGUGUUGGUCCACAAGAUCUCUCACACGAGACCGCCGGUGACAAGCCGGAGGAAGGUGGGGAUGACGUCAAGUCAGCAUGGCCCUUACGUCCAGGGCUACACACGUGCUACAAUGCGCGCGACAGCGAGUCGCAAACCCGCGAGGGUAAGCUAAUCUCUUAAACGCGCGCUCAGUUCGGAUUGAAGGCUGCAACUCGCCUUCAUGAAGUCGGAAUCGCUAGUAACCGCAGAUCAGCUACGCUGCGGUGAAUACGUUCCCGGGCCUUGUACACACCGUAGUAC